rnacentral:misc_RNA from 1 species
UCUCCGUAGGUGAACCUGCGGAGGGAUCAUUACAGAGUUCAUGCCCUAACGGGUAGAUCUCCCACCCUGUGUUAUCAUCACUUUGUUGCUUUGGCGGGCCGUCAGGCCUCGGCUUGGCUACCGGCUCUCGCUGGUAAGCGCCCGCCAGAGAACCCCAAACCCUGAAUAUCAGUGUCGUCUGAGUACUAUAUAAUAGUAAAAACUUUCAACAACGGAUCUCUUGGUUCUG